ACAAAUACCCAAAAGAGAUAAUAUAAUCAAGAAGGUGUUUUUUUCAGGAUGAUGCUCACUUGUACUCUAGGUAUGUUGACUCCACUGAUUUCCUAAAAUGUAGGAACUUGCCUGAAUAGUUGUGAUAGUGAGAAACCACAUCCUUACUCUGGAAGUGGGACAACCAAGUGUGUCUUUUUC
rnacentral:snRNA from 14 species